UACGGGAGGCAGCAGUGGGGAAUAUUGCACAAUGGGCGAAAGCCUGAUGCAGCUAUGCCGCGUGUAUGAAGAAGGCCUUAGGGUUGUAAAGUACUUUCAUCGGGGAGGAAAAAACAAAACUAAUAAUUUUAUUUCUUGACGUUACCCGAAAAAGAAGCACCGGCUAACUCCGUGCCAGCAGCCGCGGUAAUACGGAGGGUGCUAGCGUUAAUCAGAAUUACUGGGCGUAAAGAGCACGUAGGUGGUUUUUUUAAGUCAGAUGUGAAAUCCCUGGGCUUAACCUGGAACUGCAUUUUGAAACUGAAAUACUAGAGUAUCGUAGAGGGAGGUAGAAUUCUAGGUGUAGCGGUGAAAUGCGUAGAUAUCUGGAGGAAUACCUGUGGCGAAAGCGGCCUCCUAAACGAAUACUGACACUGAGGUGCGAAAGCGUUGGGGAGCAAACGAGGGAUUUAGGAUAC
rnacentral:rRNA from 1 species